rnacentral:tRNA from 1 species
GGGGCAUUAGCGCAGUUGGGAGCGCGUUUGACUGGCAGUCAAGAGGUCAGGGGUUCGAACCCCCUAUGCUCCACCA